rnacentral:lncRNA from 1 species
UGGAGGAGGGGUCCCGAUGCCCCGGUGAGGAGCUGCGAGCGGCUGGAUAUUGUUGGCGGUCGGCGAGGCAGAGGGAGGCCUAAGAAGCAUUGAGGAGAGGUGAUUAGGCAGGACAUGACUAGGAUGUAGGUUUCCGAGGACAUGACCCGUGAUAGGAGAGUAUGAAGAUCUAGAAUCAGGGUUGUAGGUUAGGGGCUCCUAGAGUUCUUCGUACGCCUCAACCGAGGUUGGGUGUGGGCCAGCAGGGAUACCCAUAGAUGAUUUGUGUUUUAGCUUAUGUCCCCCAAA